rnacentral:lncRNA from 1 species
GGGGACUCUUGGUGAGCACCGGCUGAGUGGCCCACAGCAGGGCUUUGGGGGAACCAGUUGGCCAGCUGGAGAAAGUGGGGAGUCCUUCCAUGUCCCUGUGCAGCCUCCCCUGGAGUUCUUUCUGUUCUAGUAGUUGUCACUUUCGGCACACGAGGAUGCUCCGGCCCGCCGUGAUUCCCUCCCCAACCCCAGCCUGCUCCUCCAGCUCCUCUUGGCCUGCGACGUUCUGUCUUGUGGAUGUCCAAAAACCCCAUCCAGUGUUCACAGGAAGCCUCCUUUCCUGCUUGUCC